GCAGAGCUUGCUCUGUGGAUCAGUGGCGAACGGGUGAGUAACACGUGAGCAACCUGCCCCUGACUCUGGGAUAAGCGCUGGAAACGGCGUCUAAUACCGGAUAUGAGCUGCGAUCGCAUGGUCAGCAGUUGGAAAGAUUUUUCGGUCUGGGAUGGGCUCACGGCCUAUCAGCUUGUUGGUGAGGUAAUGGCUCACCAAGGCGUCGACGGGUAGCCGGCCUGAGAGGGUGACCGGCCACACUGGGACUGAGACACGGCCCAGACUCCUACGGGAGGCAGCAGUGGGGAAUAUUGCACAAUGGGCGAAAGCCUGAUGCAGCAACGCCGCGUGAGGGAUGACGGCCUUCGGGUUGUAAACCUCUUUUAGCAGGGAAGAAGCGAAAGUGACGGUACCUGCAGAAAAAGCGCCGGCUAACUACGUGCCAGCAGCCGCGGUAAUACGUAGGGCGCAAGCGUUAUCCGGAAUUAUUGGGCGUAAAGAGCUCGUAGGCGGUUUGUCGCGUCUGCUGUGAAAUCCCGAGGCUCAACCUCGGGUCUGCAGUGGGUACGGGCAGACUAGAGUGCGGUAGGGGAGAUUGGAAUUCCUGGUGUAGCGGUGGAAUGCGCAGAUAUCAGGAGGAACACCGAUGGCGAAGGCAGAUCUCUGGGCCGUUACUGACGCUGAGGAGCGAAAGGGUGGGGAGCAAACAGGCUUAGAUACCCUGGUAGUCCACCCCGUAAACGUUGGGAACUAGUUGUGGGGUCCAUUCCACGGAUUCCGUGACGCAGCUAACGCAUUAAGUUCCCCGCC
rnacentral:rRNA from 1 species